rnacentral:rRNA from 1 species
GACGAACGCUGGCGGCGUGCUUAACACAUGCAAGUCGAGCGGUAAGGCCCUUUCGGGGGUACACGAGCGGCGAACGGGUGAGUAACACGUGGGUGACCUGCCCUCAGCUCUGGGAUAAGCCUGUGAAACCGGGUCUAAUACUGGAUAUGACUCCAUGACGCAUGUUGUGGGGUGGAAAGCCUUGUGCGGCUGAGGAUGGGCCCGCGGCCUAUCAGCUUGUUGGGGGGUGAU